GACAGAGGAUGCAAGCGUUAUCCGGAAUGAUUGGGCGUAAAGCGUCUGUAGGUGGCUUUUUAAGUCCGCCGUCAAAUCCCAGGGCUCAACCCUGGACAGGCGGUGGAAACUACCAAGCUGGAGUACGGUAGGGGCAGAGGGAAUUUCCGGUGGAGCGGUGAAAUGCGUAGAUAUCGGAAGGAACACCUGUGGGCGAAAGCGGCUCACUGGACCAUAACUGACGCUGAGGCGCGAAAGCUAGGGGGAGCAAACAGGG
rnacentral:rRNA from 1 species